rnacentral:lncRNA from 1 species
CAGUGCUUUAUUAGUAUACAAGUUUAAGGAAUAUAUUACUGAAAAGCCAAUCCUAAAUCCCGUUGUUUCAGAGGCAUUGUCAGUAAAUUUGCCACUGCCAGAGUCUUUGUCCGUAAAGACGUCUUUACCUUCCAGAAUUGAGCUACUAUCUUUAAUGAAAAGUGGAACUGAAUAUGAUAUAUUAGUGAUUGGUGGUGGAGCCACUGGCUGUGGUGUUGCUCUUGAUGCUUGUACAAGAGGUCUUAAAACAGCGUUAGUUGAAAAGGGAGAUUAUUCAUCUGGUACAAGCAGUAGAAGUACAAAACUUAUUCAUGGUGGUGUGAGAUAUUUACAAUCAGCCAUUAUGAAUUUUGAUAAAGAACAA